rnacentral:rRNA from 1 species
UACGUAGGGACCGAGCGUUGUCCGGAAUCAUUGGGCGUAAAGAGCGUGUAGGCGGCUUGUUAAGUCUUGCGUGAAAUCUCGGGGCUCAACCCCGAGCGGUCGUGAGAAACUGGCAGGCUAGAGUGCGGGAGAGGAGAGUGGAAUUCCUGGUGUAGCGGUGAAAUGCGCAGAUAUCAGGAAGAACACCCGUGGCGAAGGCGGCUCUCUGGAACGCAACUGACGCUGAGACGCGAAGGCUAGGGUAGCAAACAGG